GGCCUACGGGAGGCAGCAGUGGGGAAUCUUAGACAAUGGGCGCAAGCCUGAUCUAGCGAUGCCGCGUGAGUGAUGAAGGCCUUAGGGUCGUAAAGCUCUUUCGCCUGUGAAGAUAAUGACGGUAGCAGGUAAAGAAACCCCGGCUAACUCCGUGCCAGCAGCCGCGGUAAU
rnacentral:rRNA from 1 species